GCUCCCUCCUGCUGACGUCACUGAGGUCAGGUAGACUCUUCGAAGAUGGCGACCGCCUACGAGAGAUAUAAUUUGCACACGACCCCAGAGAAGUUCUACAUCGAGGCCUGCGAUGAGGGGGCCGACGCCGUGCUGGCCAUCGACCGGGUGUCCAACGAGAUGACCCUCACCGGGAAGAAGGACGUCCCCCCCUCGGCCGUCACCAAGCCCAUCUGCGGCGUCAUGGGGACCAUUCGGCUGGUGGCAGGGAUGUACCUGGUGGUCAUCACCAGGAAGAGGAACGUGGGCAGCCUGCUGGGACACGCCGUGUGGAAGGCCGUGGACUUCGACGUCAUCUCCUACAAGAAGACGGUGCUGCACCUCUCUGAGAUCCAGUCCCAGGAGAACAAGACCUUCCUGUCCAUGCUGAACAACGUGCUGAGCACCGACGGCUUCUACUUCUGCACCGACUUCGACCUGACGCACACCCUGCAGCGGCUGGCCAACACCAGCCCCGACUUCCAGGAGAUGAGCCUGCUGGAGCGGGCCGAUCAGAGGUUCGUGUGGAACGGGAACCUGCUGAGAGAACUGGCAGGACAGCCGGAGCUGCACCGCUUCGCCCUCCCUGUGGUCCAUGGGUUCAUCGUCAUGAAGCCGUGUCGGAUCAACGGGAAGAUCUUCGAGUGGAUCCUGAUUUCCAGGAGGAGCUGCUUCAGAGCUGGAGUCAGAUACUAUGUCAGAGGCAUCGACUCUGAGGGCCACGCUGCUAACUUUGUGGAGACGGAGCAGAUCGUGCUGUACGAGGGAGCCAAGGCCUCGUUUGUGCAGACGCGAGGCUCCAUGCCUUUCUACUGGAGUCAGAGGCCCAACCUGAAGUACAAACCCAAACCCAUCAUCAGCAAAACCAUGAGCCACAUGGAUGGCUUCCAGAGACACUUUGACUCCCAGCUGCUCAUCUACGGGAAGCAGACUAUCCUCAACCUGGUCAACCAGAAGGGCUCGGAGAAGCCGCUGGAGCAGGCCUUCGCCAAGAUGGUGUCUGGGAUGAACAACGGCAUGCUGAACUACAUUGCCUUCGACUUCCACAAAGAGUGCAGCCACAUGAGGUGGGAGAGGCUCCAGAUCCUGGUGGACGCUGUGACCGAGACUCAGGAUGAAUAUGGGUACUUCAUGGUGACCUCUGAGGGGAAGACGGUGUCCCAGCAGAAAGGAGUCUUCCGCAGUAACUGCAUGGACUGUCUGGACAGAACCAACGUCAUUCAGAGUCUGUUGGCCCGGCGCUCGCUACAGACCCAGCUCCAGAGAAUUGGGGUCCUCAACGUGGGCCAGCGUAUUGAGGAGCAGGCUGAGUUUGAGAAGAUCUAUAAGAACGCAUGGGCUGACAAUGCCAAUGCAUGCGCUGUACAGUACGCAGGAACAGGAGCCUUAAAAACAGACUUCACCAGGACGGGGAAGAGGACGAGGUGGGGGCUGCUGAUGGACGGCUGGAACUCCAUGAUCCGCUACUACAAGAACAACUUCUCGGACGGCUUCAGACAGGACUCCAUCGACCUGUUCCUGGGGAACUUCGCCGUGGAUGAGACGGAGGGUCCGACGCCACUGCGUGUGCAGAAGGACUGGAAGUUCCUGACUCUGCCCAUCAUCAUGCUGGUGGCCUUCUCCAUGUGCAUCGUCUGUCUCCUGAUGGCCGGCGACACCCUGACAGAGACCCUGGCCUACGUCAUGUUCUGGGGGGCUGCCAGCGCCAUCACAGCUACCAUCAUCCUCUUUAACGGCCAAGACUUUGUGGACGCCCCCAAGCUGGUUCACAAGGAGAAGCUGGACUGAGUGUGUGUGUGUGUGUGUGUGUGUGUGUGUGUGUGUCUCACUGGGUUCCUUCUGUUGGUAUAAUCAGACUCUUUCUGUCCUGAUGAUUCUGUUCAGCCCCCCAUAAAGAACAUAUCUGAACACAGUUACCUGCUGAAUUCCUCUGCAGUAUGCUCACGUUGUCACUUGUGCUUCGGAGAAGCAGAAGAAGCGGCGUGGUCCUGAAGAGGUGUGAUUACAUGAGCGGGCGUCGGGCUGACCGUCUCCUUGUUUACCUGUCCCAGAUGAUUGAGAUGACAGUAGAUCAGAGGUGUCUAACUGAUUUUAAAACAGCUGAGUAACCUUUAAAUAACAUUGUUAUCUCUGUUUCACUGCAAACAUUCUGACCAUGUAUAAACUCAGCAGGAUCGAGAGUCCACCUUUCUAAAGAAAUUAAUAGUGCUGUUUCAAUAUUCUGAUCAUUUCCAUGAUGGUUUCUGGUGUAAAAUACAGUAAAGCAUCCAACUAC